AUUGUGGGGGAGGGGCCGGCCAGCCAGGGCAGGCAGGGGCGGCCUCUCUGACGAGAAGGAGGCCACUGGGCUGAGGCCAAUGAAUGGGAAAGAGCCAGCCAUGUGGUGAGCUGGGAGAGGGCAUCCCAGGCCGUGCGACCUGCGCUUGCAAAGGCCCUGGGGCCGGACAGUUCUUGGCAGAGUCUGAGGGGCUUGAGUCUGGGGGAGCCUGGCUGCCCAGAGGUGGCAGAUGACAUGAAGAAAUAACCAUGUAAGGGCUGGCUGUGUAUGAGGAGCAAGCAUUGGGAAGGAUGAAUGCCAACUAUGUUCCAGGAACUUCCACUGUUCUCACACACCCAGGUGAGUGGUGUUCAGGUGGGUGGCACCCAGGUGAGUGACAUCCCAGUUGAGUGGCACCCAGGUGAGUAGCAUCCAGGUGAGUGACACCUAGGUGAGUGACAUUCAGGUUAGUGGCGUCUGUGUGAGUGGCAUCAUCCAGGUGAGUAGCUUCCAGGUGAGUGGCACCCAGGUGAGUGGCAUUCGGGUGAGUGGCAUUAUCCAGGUGACACCUGGGUGAGUGGCAUCCAGGUGAGUGAUAUCAUCCAGGUAAGUGGCACCUAGGUGACAUCCAGGUGAGUGACGACAUCCAGGUGAGUGACAUCAUCCAGGUAAAUGGCACCCAGGUGAGUAGCAUUCAGGUGAGUGACACCCAGGCGAGUGGCAUCCACGUGACUAGCAUUGUCCAGGUGCAUAACACCCAGGUGAGUGGCACCCAGUUGAGUGGUGCCCAAGUGAGUCACAUCCAGGUAAGUGGGGUCCAGGUGGUGGCACCCAGGCGAGUGGUGCCCAGGUGAGUGACAGCCAGGUGAAUGGUGUCCAGGUGAGUGGCAUCACCCAGGUGAAUGGUGUCCAGGUGAGUGGCAUCCAGGUAAGUGGUGUCCAGGUGGUGGCACCCAGGUGAGUGGUGUCCAGGUGAGGGGCAUCACCCAGGUGAAUGGUGUCCAGGUGAGUGGCAUCCAGGUGGGUGGUACCGUCGACGUGACAAUAGCUAAAAAUUAUUGGGCUCAUUGUGGACAGGCACUGUGCCGAGCUUGACAUCACUGAACUCAGUUCAUCCUCGCCAGGAGCUUGUGGGCCGUCCCUAGAUCAGAAUCCGAGGAGAAAGGACUUCCACACGGCAGCCAGCGAGCUGGAGGGCGGCCUCCUGCCACCACCAGGCUCCCUAACCCAGUCCUGGAUAUCUGUGAAAGAAUGAGUGGAUCCCCACAGGCCAGGCUAUCCCCAAACACACUCGUUUACACUGAAGCACCAGGAGAUCAGAACCUUCUGGAAUCUUAAUAUGCGAGGACUCGGUGGAGAAGGCGGCACUGAAGAAGAGUCGUCCCUAGGCCAGGCUGGAGGGAAACUCAAGACGGCGGCCUGGCCCUCCUGGGUGGCGGAAGUGGGAGCAGCAGGAGCCCUGGCGGAUCCGGGAGGCCAGAAGAGCGGAAGCUUCCUCCCCUCUCAGGGACAGCCACAAGGACUUUCGGGGGUCGUGGCAGCUGCUCCACUUCCAACUUCCAGAUCCCUCUCACUUUCCUCUUCCCACCAACUCCAACCUGGGACCAAGCAGGGGAAAGCAGCUGCAGCCCAGCUUGACGCCCCUGCAAAUGGAGACCUGUGCACCUGGUUGUGAGCAUUUUAAAGGGUGUCACACAGGGCAUACCCUUCGGUGCCUGGAUUCCUUUGGAUGAAAGGGCAAAGCCUUGAACCUAAGUCAUCUUCGAGUCCUCAGCACUUCACCCAGAGCCUGGCACACAGUAGGAGCACAGAAAGGGUUUACAUCCAGCAGGAGUUGGCCCUGAGCUCUGAGUCCAGAUCAUUGCUCUUGGCUGAAGCAGCCUGUCUACUCACAAAGAUGAGCAUGGUCCCUGCCACGAGGAAACUCGUGGUCCUGUGGACUGCGGUGUGGAGGGAAAGCUUGGGAUUCUGAGCCUGAUAAUGCACCAUUACAUCCCCACUCACUCGGGCUGUGUGAACCCAGCAAGUCACAGGAUCACUGGGUGGUGAAAGAAAGAAACACUCACAGAAGCGUCUGUGCUUGGAGAGCCAUCUGGUCCGUCAUUGUGACUGCUGCUCUCAUUGCUAUCAUGGGUGUCACCAUUGCCAUCACUCAAGGACUUCUCUCCAGGCCCCGAAGCCAAGCUGGUGCCUGGUUCCUCUGGGUUGGGAGAGGGGCUGGGCAUGGACAGGAGGAGGGAAAAGGGACCUGUGCUAGCAGGUGAUGCCAUCCAAGACAUCUGCAUCCUAAUCCCUGGAACCUGGGAUUCCACUAGGUGCCAUGGCAAAGAGGGAUUAAGGUGGCAGGUGGAGUGAAGGUUGCUAAUCAGCCGACCUUAAAGUAGGGAGAUGAUCCUGAAUGAGACAAAAGAGAGAACCAGUCAUGGUGUCAUGAGAAGGACUCAAAAUGCAACUGCUGACUUUGAAGAUUAAGGGGCUACAAACCAAGGAACGUGGUAGUCUCUGGAAAAGACAAGGAAUAGACGCUGCGUUGGGGCCACCAGAAGGAACCAGCCCUGUCAACACCCUAAUUUUAGCCCAGUGAGGCCUGUGCUGGACUUCUGACCUCCAGAACUGUAAACUAAUAAAUGUGUGUUGUUUCUGCCA
rnacentral:lncRNA from 1 species